AAAAAAUGGACAGCAAUUCUAAUGUACAAAAAAGCAUAUUAAAAAAUACAAAUGGUUAGUAUAAGAUAAAAAAAAAAAAAGGAGAUAUAUACUAUGCCUCUAUUAUUAACAUUUUAAUAUAUAUGUACAUAUGUGCAACUAUCUAAAAAGAGCCAUAAGAAUUUUUUUUUUUUUUUUUUUUUUUUCCUUUUUUAUAGAUAACCAUGAUGGUAAAUCAUCAAGCAGUUACACAAAAAACUUUUAUAAAAGUUUAAAUAACUAUAUACAAGAAAUUGAUAACAUUGAAAAAAAAGGUAUAUAAAAUCAACAUAAUUUUUUAAAUAAAUUGACAUAGUAAAAAAAAAAAAAAAAAAAAAACUUUAGAUGUAAAUGUGCUCAUAUGUACAUGUAUUUUUUUUAAUUAUAUAUCAUGUUUAGAAAAUAAGAAUGAUGAAUUAUUUAAUGAAGUGUACGACAAACAGAACUUACCAACAGUUCACCUAUUUAAUACAAGUUCGAAAGGUGGAAAUCGUUCAAGAUUGUUCGAUAACCAGUGGAAAAAGGACAAUGAUAAUAAUAAAAAUGGAAACGAAAGAAUAAACUAUGAUUAUAUAAAUGCUACCAAUGAAUACUAUAAGUCAAAAAACGUUGAAGAGAAAGUAACAAACACAGGAAUAACUAAUAAAAACUUUUUUUCAGAUAAUAAUGUGUUGCAAUAUGAAGACAGCAUGAAAAAUUGGUCCGACAAAAGUAGAUACUUGUACUUCGUUGAAAAAAAAAAAGAGGAGAGCGGUAGCAAGAAAGCUAGUAAAUUUAAAAAUGUAAAUUUGAAUAAUUCCAUUAUAAAAGACAAAUACUUACAAGCGUCUUAUAAACAUGACCCUACUAGUGAACAAACAAAAAUUGAAAAUUUAGUUUUAGAUGUCUUAAAUAACAAUUUUGAUGAUGAUAUAGAAUCUAUCAAAGGUGAAAGAACCUUAACCGAAGAUCGCCUAGAGACUUCUGUUGUUGUAAUAAUAAAGAAAAAUAAAAAAGAUUAAAAAAAAAGAAAUAAAAUAAAAGGUGUUCAUGUGUAUAUGC
rnacentral:lncRNA from 1 species